rnacentral:tRNA from 1 species
GCGUCCUUAGUGUCAAUGUAGCACGGGAGUCUCCAAAACUUCAAGACUAGGUUCAAAUCCUAGAGGGCGUGUCA